rnacentral:lncRNA from 1 species
UCAACUAAUGGAGAUUGUGUAUAGAGGUCUGAAGGGUAGGAGAUUUCUAAUUGUCAUAGAUGAUAUUUGGAGUACUGAGGCUUGGGAGCAAAUGCAAAGAAUAUUUCCAAAUGAUGACAAUAAAAGCCGAAUUCUAUUAACCACUCGGCUCAAGUAUGUAGCUGAUUAUUUCAGUUGUCCUGAUUUUCUGCCUCAUUGUAAGUCUUUUCUAAGUCUAGAUGAUAGUUGGAAUCUAUUCACUGAAAAAUUGUUCAAAAAAGAUUUGUGUCCUCCUCUACUUGUAGAAAUAGGGAAGCAUAUUGUACAACAAUGUCAAGGGUUACCUCUCUCGGUUAUUGUCGUUGCGGGACUUCUUGGAAAAAUGGACCCAACGUAUGAUAAUUGGAAGAAAGUUGAGGAAAAUCUGAACUCAUUCUUUGGUACAGUAUCCGAACGGUGCCAAUCAAUUCUUACUUUGAGCUACAGUUACUUGCCCCAAUAUUUGAGGGCUUGUUUUCUCUAUGUUGGAGGUUUUCCUGAAGAUAAAGAAAUUAAUGUUUCCAAGUUGAUUAGGCUAUGGAUUGCUGAGCACUUUGUAAGAGCAAGAAGCAAUAUAAGGUUAGAAGUGGUGGCAGAGGAAUAUCUAGAAGAGUUAAUUGAUAGAAGUAUAAUUUUGACUUGUAAACAAAGGGCUAACGGAAGGAUGAGAAGUUGCAAAAUUCACGAUCUUCUUCGGCAACUAUGCCUAAGUGAAGCUCAUACAGAAAAUGUUGUGGAUGUCAUGAAUGGGAAUGUCCUCGUGUCCUUAGAAGCCAUAGAUGAUCAACGGCGAGUGAUUGUUCUGUCUAAACUUGAAGAGAAGCAUGUUUAUCGUACAAGUAUAACGCGCACCUUUAUUUCAAUGCAAUCUUUUGGAUUAGAUUUUCCAAAGGAGAUUUGUUCCAGUGUUUCACAGUUCAAGUUGCUUAAGGUGUUGGAUGUAUUAUCAGUCUGGAAUGAUUUCACUUGUGUAAUACCUGAGCUUGUACAUUUGAGAUAUGUUGCUGCAAGAAUUAUGCAAGGUUUUUCACUAGCAAAAUUGAGAAAUCUACAGACCAUAAUUCUUCAAAUUACUCAUGUGAAAGAGUUGGAGGAUCCACUAGAUAUAUGGACAAUGUCAGAGAUUAGAUACCUGGAUAUUAGAUUGCCACUAUAUAUAUCAAAUCCUCUUGAAGCAGAACAGCCUUUGUUUCUCAAUAACUUGCACACACUUUUUCUCUAUUACUCUCCUUUUGUUGCGGAAAUCAUAAGAAGAACCCCCAAUCUAAAAAAGCUAAAGAUUUCAGAUAGAUCUGAGCAUCCUGACUGGCCUCCUAUUAUGAAUUCUCUCAGUCUUCUAGAGGGGCUGGAGACACUACAUAUAGCAACAGAACAAACCAUUACUGGCCGGAUGAUUUUCUCCGGAUGUAAUCUCCCGCCUAAUCUCAAGCAACUGAAGUUAUCAGGUACUUCUAUACCAUGGGAAGAUAUGAAUUUGCUGGCUAAUUUACCCAAUCUUGAGGUGCUCAAAGGGUCUCAUGCAUUCACUGGAACAGUUUGGAAACUAAAUGAAGAUGUUGUGUUUAGCAAAUUAAAAUAUCUACGACUGUAUGCCUGUGGAGAUCUGCAAAGGUGGGAAGCUGGUAGUGAUAAUUUCCCGAUGCUUGAGCAACUACUACUGCGUGAAUUGGAUGAACUGGAGAAGAUUCCGGAGAGUAUUGGGGAAAUAAUGACACUAAAAUUGAUCCAAAUAGAUGAUUGCAGCUCUUUUGUAGAGACUAGUGCGACAGAAAUUCAAGAAGAGCAAGAAAGAGUAGGAAAUUAUGAGCUUCAAGUUCGAAUUAAAAGGUAUGUUAAAAUUCCAUCUUUGAUUAUUAGCCAAUUCUUAAUUAACAUGUUCUUGUGGUCUUUCUAUUUUCUUUCAUUUUUGUUGUCACCUGCUAAAAAGGCUGUGUAGAUUAGUGUAACCUUGUUGAAUACACCAAAUUUAGCUGCAAUAGCCUUAGAGAUUGGCAGGGAAAGCAUCGCGAAGAAUUGUAUUGGAGAGUAUAAUUAACUAUACCAAGAGACUCUCUUGGAACAGAAUAUAAGUAUAAAUAUUAUGAUUUUUUUUCUUUUCAACUUGCGAUGGCCAUAAUUCUUCUAUGUCCUUGCAGGACAAAGCUCGAGCGUCCUCUUCAGGUAGACACUCAUUACUUGACAAAACUUUCUCUCCCGCACUAUCCUUUUGUUGCCGAAAUGAUGAGAAGAACUUCCAAUCUAAAAGAGCUAAAGAUUUUACAUAAAUCUAAGCAUCCUGACUGGCCUGAUAUUCUCGAUUCUCUCCGUCUUUUAGAGAAACUGGAGACACUAGACCUAGGAGCAGAACAAACCAUCAAUGACCAGAUCAUGAUUUUCUCGGGGGAUAUUUUUCCUCCUAGUCUCAAGGAAUUGAAAUUAGCACGUACUUUUAUACCAUGGGAAGCUAUGAAUUUGCUGACUAAUUUACCCAAUCUUGAGGCGUUUAUGGGGGUUGAUGCAUUCGAUGGAACAGACUGGACACUAAAUGAAGAUAUUGUAUUUCCCAAAUUAAAAUAUCUACGAAUUUUGUUCGGAUGUCUGGCAAGGUGGGAAGCAGGUAGUAAUAAUUUUCUGAUGCUUGAGCAACUAUUACUGGAUGGCUUGUAUGAACUGGAGCAGAUUCCCGAGAGCAUUGGAGAUAUAAUGACACUAGAAUUGAUCAAAAUAGACCGUUGUGGCUCUGGUGUGGAGACUAGUGCAAAGAAAAUUCAACAAGAGCAACAAAGCCAGGGAAAUUAUGAGCUUCAAGUUCAAAUUAUUAGGUAUGUUAAAGUUCCAUCUUUGAUAUUAAUCCAAUUCUCAUUAAUAUGUUUGUGUGGUCUUUUUUGUUUUUGUUUUCACCUGCUAAAAAGGCUUGUAAACUUGGAACUAUGAUAAAUAUCAAAGAACAAUAAAUAUAAUUGUAAACAAAAUAUUGUGGUUAAUAUAGAUUUUUUUAUAUGGUUUUAAUGCAGUAACAUGAGUGUGUAGAAGGGUUUCGAGCUCAAGUUGGAAAAUCUGCUGGUGUUAACACUGAGUAAAUGAGAUUGCAUUUUGAAUCUUUCAUCUUAAGGUGUUCUGGAGAGUUUAUGGUUGUAUUGUUUUUCUUCUUCGCAAUCAGAUUUGUAUUGGAGCUUGUAAUAGUUAGAUUCCCAUAAUGUUUGAACAUUUUGGAUACUUGAUUUGCUUGAGUCUAUUACCUUUAGGGAAGUUGAACAAGGACUCAAUUGUAUAAUUAUAUAUAACUAAUGAGUUGAUGGCCAAAAACACAUCUAAACUAUCUCACUUUAUUGAGUUUCAUACCUGAACUAUUGAAAGUUUAAGUUUCCUUUCUACAAGGUCUUUACGUACUUUUUCGCUUCAACUACCUAGCUUUGCUUUAUGCUUUAUGCACGAGUUGAAGUGUUUAGUUGUCAAUUGAAACCAAGUUGAGUUGUGUAGAUGUGCACUCUAAAAGUUGAUUGAAGUGUUUCCUUGCUAGCUGAGAUCAAGUUUGAGUUUUGUUUGUGUAUUAUGUCAAUAUAACAUUGCUUCAAACUUCAUAUUAAGUCAGUUUGUCUGGUAAAUGUUUUUCUUGUACGAUUACUGUUAUUCUUAUUCUGACAAUUUAAUGUAUUUUCUGGAAUAGACCCUUGGUUAAGAGCGGUAAGAAACCCCAAAAGUAUAUCAGGUACUUGGCUGAAGAUCUUGAACGUAUGCUUGGUGAAUUUUUCGAGGGUAAGACGUUGAAUAAGCCAAAACGAGGAACCUUAUACUAAAAAAGUUAGCUACAUUCUGCACUAUUUCUGUGCUGAUACGCGACAUAGUUGUUAUCUAACUGAGUUCUUUCGCCAACGUUGAUGGCUUUGUUUACUACUAUAUAUGGCAUUUGUGAAUCAGUUCCAUUGAGUUACUUGUUAUAUAUACUUCAUUUAAGGGUGUAAAUUGUAAUGAAAAUGUAUCAUAUACUAACUUUCAAAAUUCAGAUUAAUUAUCAUUUUAAACUGCUGGGGAACUAAAUGAGAGAUUAGAAUCCUAUUCUUAAUCCUUCUUAGGCUGAUUAAUAGUUUGAUUAACCAUUAAGAGUGUGCUCAUUUGACAACAAACUCAUUGGCAAUUGCUAAAUUAAAGAUAAUGUUAAAAGUUUAGCGCACUACAUUUUGUCUCACAAUUAUAUUAUAAAAUAAAAAAGAAAUACCCCAUUGAGCAUCUCAUAUCUAUAGUACUAUUAAUUACUUAAGUGAAACAAUUUGAUUUUCUUGUUUUGUAAUGUAAAGUGUAUUGGAUUAUGUUCUCAUUCAUAGUCUCUUUUAAUUAAACAAAUGAUAAAGGUAACUGCACUAUGCCUUAGAAAAAGAAAGAUAUGAAAAAGUAGACCAUUUGAGAAAAAAAAAAAACACUUUGCCUGAUAAAUAACAAAGCAGAGAAAUUAAAUCUACAAGGUUCUAUCUUUUAGUUAUUCCAGCAAACAAAGAGAAAUGGCUUAUGCUGCUCUUUCUUCCCUUAUCUAUACAUUGAACCAACUCUUGAAACCUAAUCAAUCUUUGGUUUGUCGAUGUUGUACACAAGAACAUCUCGAAUCUCUCUGUCAAAAUCUUUCUGCUCUGCAAGAUUUCCUUGACAAUACUACCACAAAGGAUAUAGGAACUCUUAAGGUAUCUAAUUCACUAGUAUAAUAUCUAAAUCUUACUGAUGUUAUAUAUUCUUUUUAAUAGUAUUAAUUUAUUGAGUUUCAAUUUCAAGGUUAUAGAAAAGAGGAUCAGAAAUGUAGUAUACAAAGCAGAAGAUAGAGUUGAUUCAAGUCUAAGAAGCAUCAUUCUAGCAGAUCACGAGGACAAACGGCAAAAGGCUUGUAGAUCCUUUUAUGAAGAAUUGUUGAAAGUGGAACAACAAGUUUAUUUUCUCAACAAAGAGGUGAUGUUGGUCAAGUUUAACAAGCAUGGAAUCAAAUCUGCAGAAUCAGCAACAAAUCCUUCCUCACUCGAAAAAAGUAAGAUUGAGGAAAAUACUAUUGUUGGGAUGGAGGAUGACUUCAACAUCAUACUUGAUCGCGUCACUUCCCAAACAGACGAGUUAACUGUCAUACCAAUUUUUGGUAUGGGCGGUAUAGGUAAGACAACUCUUGCCAGAAAGGUUUUUGGAGAUUCAUAUAUUCGUUCUCGAUUUGAUAAACAUGCAUGGGUCACUAUCUCUGAAGAAUACAAUGAGAGACAAAUGCUUCUUGAAGUUGUCUCUUCAAUUACUGGAAGCAAGCAAGAAACCAGCGAUGAUCAACUAAUGGAGAUUGUGUAUAAAGGUCUGAAGGGUAGGAGAUUUCUAAUUGUCAUAGAUGAUAUUUGGAGUACAAAAGCUUGGGACCAAAUGCAAAGAAUAUUUCCAAAUGAUGACAAUAAAAGCCGAAUUCUAUUAACCACUCGGCUCAAGUAUGUAGCUGAUUAUGUCAGCUGUCCUGAUUUUCCGCCUCAUAGUAAGUCUUUUCUAAGUCUAGAUGAUAGUUGGAAUCUAUUCACUGAAAAAAUAUUCAAAAAAGAUCCAUGUCCUAGUCUACUUGUAAAAAUAGGGAAGCAUAUUGUUCAACAAUGUCAAGGAUUACCUCUCUCAGUUAUUGUUGUUGCUGGACUUCUUGGAAAAAUCGACCCAACGCAUAACAAUUGGAAGAUCGUUGAGAAAAAUCUGAAUUCAUUCUUUGGUACGGUAUCCGAACGGUGCCAAUCAAUUCUUUCUUUGAGCUAUAAUUACUUGCCCCAAUAUUUGAGGACUUGUUUUCUUUAUGUUGGAGGUUUUUCUGAAGAUAUGGAGAUUGAUGUUUCCAAGUUGAUUAGGCUAUGGAUUGCUGAGCAAUUCGUAAAGGUAAGAAACAAUAAAAGGUUAGAAGUGGUGGCAGAGGAGUAUCUACAAGAGUUAAUAGAUAGAAGUCUAAUUUUGGUUGGUAAACAAAGGGCUAAUAGAAGGAUGAAAACUUGCAAAAUUCACGACCUUCUUCGACAACUGUGCAUAAGAGAAGGUCAAACUGAAAAUGGUUUGAAUGUCAUAACUGGGGAUGUCCCCAAAGCCAUAUAUCAUAGUAUGCAGCAUAGCAGUCGUAUAACUCGCACCUUUAUUCCAAUGCCAUCUUUUGGUUUAAUUUUUCCAAAAAGGAUUUUCUCCAUUGUUUUAGAGUUGAAGUUGCUUAAGGUGUUGGACGUAUUAUCAAUUGAAUGCAAUUUCUCUUGUGUAAUACCUCAUCUUAUACAUUUGAGAUAUGUUGCUGCAAGAAUUGAGAAAGCUCUUUCACUAGCCAAAUUGAGAAAUUUACAGACCAUAAUUCUUCAAAGUCUUGAAGAGACGGAGUUGAAGCACCCCGUAGAUAUUUGGACAAUGUCAGAGAUAAGACAUGUGGAUAUUGGAUUGCCACUAUAUAUAUCUAAUCCUCUUGAUGCCGAAAAUCAUAGUAUUGGAGAACAUCCUUUGUUUCUCAAUAACUUGCACACACUUUAUCUUCAUUAUUCUCCUUUUGUUGAGGAAAUCAUAACAAGAAGUCCCAAUCUAAAAAAGCUAAAGAUUUCAGAUAGAUCUGAGCAUCCUAUUUUUGAUUCUCUCAGUCUUCUACAUGAUUUGGAGACACUACAGAUAGCAACCUUUGACCCAAUGAUUUUCUCAGGAGAUAUUUUCCCUCCUAAUCUAAAGAAAUUGAAAUUAUCAUACACUAGAUUACCAUGGGAAGUUGUGAAUUUGCUUGCUAAUUUACCUAGUCUUGAGGUGCUCAAAGGGAAUGAUGCAUUCAAGGGAACAAAUUGGAGACUAGAUGAAGAUGUUGUGUUUCGCAAAUUAAAGCAUUUAAAAAUUGUAGCCGGAGAUCUGCAAAGGUGGGAAGCUGGUAGUGAUAAUUUUCCUAUGCUUGAGCAACUAAUACUGCAUCAGUUGCGUGAUCUGGAGGAGAUUCCCGAGAGUAUUGGAGAUAUAAUGACACUAAAAUUCAUCCAAAUAAACUGUUGCGGCUCUGGUGUAGACACUAGUGCAACGAAAAUUCAAGAAGAGCAACAAAGCUUAGAAAAUUAUGAGCUUCAAGUUCAAAUUACUCCUAUGGUAUGUUCAUUUCCAUCUUUCAUUAUUAGUCAAUUCUUAAUUAAUAUGUUCAUGUGCUCUUUCUAUAGAAGAGUAAUAUUUUUUGUUAUUUCGAAGUUUACUCAAAAGGGUCCACAUUUUUUCAACAGCCUGACUUAGCUCGAGCUACUACGCCUGUUGCUUGGAACAGGUAAUGUAUAACCUUCAUUUUUUCUGAAAAUUAUCAUGGAUUUUCAUUGUUUAGCUUCAAACUCUGUUUUGAGAUUGUUUGAAUUCAAUCUAAAAGAAGCUAUUGGAAGUGAUUUUCUAUGUUAUGUUAUGCUGGUAACUGGGGAAAUUAUUGGGCAGAUAUACUAAAAUAAGAUUCAAAAUGUAUACUCAGAAGAGAGAUAAAAUUAGGAUUGAAGAUAUAAGGCAGAAGGUGCGUAGGUAAUUGAUUGUUGACUCGCUAUCCUGUGGAUAGGCUUGGUGGUAAUUUGGUACAGAGUACUUGUUUCUCUGUUCAUACCAGUAGUAGUAAUAUUAUUCUCAUAGUUUCUUGUCCUACGAUUUUUGUUACUCCCCGUGUUUCAUGUGCUUUGGUUAUCACAUCAUUACUUAAUUUGCUCGGGCAGUUUCUCCCGGACUAGGAACCCUCUCUACUACCUGAAGCCCUGGAGUACUUAAGAAGUAGAAAUUAUAGAUAUGAAAUCUCUGCUUAAAUGUCUCCAUGAAAAUAGAUAGCAAGUGAAUAUUGAAGCAUCGAUAUGAUUACUUACACCGGAGUGUCAAAGCCAGAUGAAGAGUCCAGGCAUUAGAGAUGUUGUAUGAUCAAGAGAAGCAAAACGAAUGAGGCUUGCUAAGCUGUACGCCCCAAUUGCUUACAACAUGUCUUGAACCGUCGACCAAUAUAAUUGGUUAGAGGCGGAGGUGUUUCACCAACUGAGCAAGCAUCACUUGUCUUGCCAAAUAUAUUUUAUACAUAAAGUAUAAUGUUUAGUUGUAUAGUUUAUUCCUAUUUUUAAUGGUUUUCAAACAAUUUUUGCAGCUGGGAUAAGAAGCCUUUAUGGAAUAGGGAGACAGUGAAGGUGCCACUUGUUAGGCGCGUGAUUGAGGUGUCUCGUAGAGCUUCGAAGCUUUUAAAACGUACCCUAAUGGGGUUUGGAAAAGAUCGCCCUAUGUAAAUUGCAGUGUACUGUUUUUAACUAUUUCAGUUAGUUUUAUAAUCAUGUAAGAAAUAUAUAUAUGUUUUGCUUGAAAAUAUCUUCACAUAAUUAAAUAUAUAUAGAUAGUACAUUGAUUAUACACAUAUUGAACAUGGAUUAUACGUAUAUUGUAUAUCCGUCGGCUAUUUUUAGUCUAAUCAGUUUGAUGGACGGAUAUAUAGGUUAAUUAUUCGUAUCUUUCUUCACCUAUUUCUGAAUUAGAUAUACACCUCUUUGUUUAUUUGCACUACCAUUUUCUUCCCCCUCUCCCUCUAUUUAUUUUUCUUUUAUCUUUUAUGGUUAAAAUGUAAAAGUUACACCUAAAUUAUGCGAAAUAGAUUAAUUUUGAACUAUGAUCAAUUCUUUCAUCGAGACUUAAUUCAAAUCACGGUGAUAUUUUCUUGUUCCUAAAUGGGUAUGAUUCAAAUUGUAAACUCACCAUAGAAAAAGGUGUAGAUGAGCAAAAGUCACUUGACUGUAACGAGAGGAGCUCUAGCUUACUCUACUUCCACUGCCGCCUUUACUGUUUUGGCAUACAUAUUUUACUCGACUUUAAUUCUGGGUGGUAUAAGUAGACACUUUUAACUUGUAUAAAAUUGAACAAAUAGAUACAUGUGUCCUAUGUGGAGUCCUACAUGAAGAUUUAUGUCCUACGUGGAGUUCUACAUGUAUUAUGCCAUGUAGAACACAUGUGUCUUCUUCUUCAAAUUUUUAUACAAGUUUAAGUGUCUACUUGUGCACACCCAAAAUUAAGGAACAUAGAUGUCAACUGAAGCCAAGUUAAAAGAGUAUUAUGAGGUUUGAUUAACCAUGAAGUAGUGUAAACUGGCUGCAUUGUGCCAUCAUUAGUCAACAAACCCAUUAGCAAUCCAUCAAUUGCUUAAUUAAAGAUAAUGAUAGUAAAAGUUUAGUGCACUACACCUUAUCUCACAAUUAUAUAAUACAAAUAGUAAAAGUUAGUCCACUACCCCUUAUCUCACAAUUAUAUAAUACAAAAAGAGAUGCCCCAUUGAGAAUAUAGUACUAUUAAUUAAGUGAAAUAAUUUGAUUUACUUGUUGUAUAUGAUUGUGUUCUCAUUUGUCAAUGGAAAUCCAUCAUCUCUUGUAAUUAAACAAAUGAUAAAAGUAAGUACACUAAUCUUUGUCCCCCAUUUAAAAAAAGUUGGAAAUAAAAAAAAGUAAAUCAUUUGGACAAAACCUCUUAGCCUAAUAAUAACAAAGUAAAUUAUUCCAGCAAACUGCAAUAAUUUUUUUGUUAAGAGAAAUGGCUUAUGCUGCUCUUUCUUCACUUCUGUAUACAUUGGAACAACUAUUCAAACCUAAUCAAUCUUUCGUUUGUCGAAGCUACACGCAACAUGUUCAAUCUCUCUAUCAAAAUCUUUCUGCUCUGCAAGAUCUCCUUGACGAUACUACAAAGGAUACUGAAACUCUUAAGGUAUGUAAUUAACUAGUAUAGUUAUCUAAAUCUUACUGAUUUUUUAUAUUUUUUUCAAUAAUAAUUAAUUUACCGAGUUUCAAUUUCAAGGUUAUAGAAAUGAGGAUCAGAAAUGUAGUAUACAAAGCGGAAUAUAAAGUUGAUUUAUGUCUACGAAGGAUCAUUCUAGCAGAUCGUGAGGACAAGCGGGAAAAGGCUUAUACAUCCUUUUAUGAAGAAUUGUUGAAAGUGAAAGGACAAGUUUAUUUUCUCCACAAAGAGGUGAUGCAGAUUAAUGUUAAAAAGCAUGGAAGCAAAUCUGCAGAAUCAGCAACAACUACCUACUCACCAGAAAAAAGUACAAUUGAGGGAAAUACUAUUUUUGGGAUGGAGGAUGACUUCAACAUCAUACUUGAUCGCGUCACUGCCCAAACAGACGAGUUAACUGUCAUACCAAUUUUUGGUAUGGGCGGUAUCGGUAAGACAACUCUUGCCAGAAAAAUUUAUGAUGAUUCAUCUAUUUGUUCUCGAUUUGAUAAACAUGCAUGGGUCACUAUCUCCGAAGAAUACAAUCAGAGACAAAUGCUUCUUGAAGUAGCCUCUUCAAUUACCGGAAGCAAACAAGAAAUGAGUGAUGAUGAACUAAUGGAGAUUGUGUAUAGAGGCCUGAAGGGUAGGAGAUUCCUAAUUGUCAUAGAUGAUAUUUGGAGUACCGAGGCAUGGGACCAAAUGCAAAGAAUAUUUCCAAAUGAUGACAAUAAAAGCCGAAUUCUAUUAACCACACGGCUCAAGUAUGUUGCUGAUUAUGUCAACUGCCCUGAUUUUCCACCUCAUAGUAAGUCUUUUCUAAGUCUAGAAGAUAGUUGGAAUCUAUUUACCGAAAAAUUAUUCAAAAAGAUCACUGUCCUCCUCUUCUAGAAGAAAUAGGGAAGCAUAUUGUACAACAAUGUCGAGGAUUACCUCUCUCAGUGGUUGUCGUUGCUGGACUUCUUGGGAAAAUGGACCCAACACAGGAUAAUUGGAAGAAGGUUGAGGAAAAUCUGAACUCAUUCUUUGGUACGGUGUCCGAACGGUGCCAAUCAAUUCUGUCUCUGAGCUACAAUUACUUGCCCCAAUAUUUGAAGGCUUGUUUUCUCUAUGUUGGAGGUUUUCCAGAAGACAGAGAGAUUAAUGUUUCCAAGUUGAUUAGGCUAUGGAUUGCAGAGCAAUUUGUAAAGGCAAGAAGCAAUAUAAGAUUAGAAGUGGUGGCAGAGGAGUAUCUACAAGAGUUAAUUGAUAGAAGUCUAAUUUUGACUGGUAAACAAAGUUAUAAUGGAAGGAUGAGAACUUGCAAAAUUCAUGAUCUUCUUCGCCAAAUGUGCCUAAGUGAAACUCAUACUGAAAAUGUUGUGCAUGUCAUGAAUGGGAAUGUCCUCGUGUCCUUAUUAAAAGUAAUAGAUGAUCAGCGGCGAGUGAUAGGUCUGUGUAAACAUAAAGAGAAGCAAGUUUAUCCUACAAUGCAUAGCAAUUGUAUAACAAGUAUAGCUCGUACCUUUAUUUCAAAGCCAUUUUUUUACCACACCGGUUUUCCAGAAAGGAUUUGUUCCAUUGUUUCAGAAUUCAAGUUGCUUAAGGUGUUGGACGUAUUAUCACUCUGGUACGAUUUCUCUAGUGUAAUACCUGAGCUUGUACAUUUGAGAUAUGUUGCUGCAAGAAUUGAGAAAGCUGUUUCACUAGACAAAUUGAGAAAUCUACAGACCAUAAUUCUUCAAACAAAUAUCGUUAUCAACAGACCAAGAGAGUUGGAGCAGCCAGUAGAUAUCUGGAGAAUGUCAGAGCUAAGACAUUUGGAUAUCAGAUCGCCACUAUAUAUAUCUAAUCCUCUUGAGGCAGAAAAUGAUAGUAUUGGAGAGCAACCUUUGUUUCUCAAUAACUUGCAAAAUCUUUAUCUAUAUAAGGCUCCUUUUAUAGCGGAAAUCAUAAGAAGAACUCCGAAUCUGAAAAAGCUGAAGCUUUUAGAUGAUUCUGAGCAUUCUGAGUGGCCUGCAAUUCUUGAUUCUCUAAUUCUUUUAGAGGAGCUGGAGACGCUACUCAUAACGCUGGAGAGCAUUGACCUGAACAUUUUCUCUGGAGAUAUUUUGCCUUGUAAAAUCAAGAAAAUGACGUUAAGUUCUAAUAUCAAGAAAUUGAUAUUAGCAGGUACUUAUAUACCAUGGGAAGUUGUGAAUUUGCUGGCUAAUUUACCCAAUCUUGAGGUGCUCAAAGGGUAUCGUGCAUUCGAUGGAACAGAUUGGAAACUCGAUGAAGUUGUUGUGUUUCACAAAUUAAAAUAUCUACAAAUUGUUGGUAAAGGUCUGGAAAGGUGGGAAGCAUGUAGAAAUAAACAAUUCGUAGGUCUGGAAAGGUGGGAAUUAGCAGAUGGUAGUGAUAAUUUUCCGAUGCUUGAGCAACUAUUACUGCGUGGGUUGGAUGAAUUGGAGGAGAUUCCUGAGAGUAUCGGAGAUAUAAUGACACUAAAAUUCAUCCAAAUAAAAUAUUGCAGCUCUGGUGUAGUAAAUAGUGCAAAGAGAAUUCAACAAGAGCAAGAUAGCUUGGGAAAUUAUGAACUUCAACUUCAAAUUACUCCAAAGGUAUCUUCAUUUCCAGUUAUGUGACACUUUUCGAAUUUUGAGAUUUAAACAAAUCUAUUUUUUUACCGUAAUUUUUUAUAUAUUUUUAAUUAUUGUAACUUAUAGUACUUUUUACGUACUUACAAAUAUAUAAAUUUCACUUAAAAAAAUUAAAGAUUUCACGUGCAAAUUUCUGAUCAAAUUUAAACUGUUUGACUCUUGAAAACGAAAAGUACCUCAUAAAUUGGGAUAGAGGGAGUAUAUUGCAUAUGGAGUAUAAUUCACUUUUCAUAUAUAUUGCAGAUUUAUCAUAAUAUUGUUAUAUAUUGCUAUAAAUGGUAAUAAAUAAAAGAAAAAAAAGAUAAAUAUACCCCUGAACUAUUAUAAAUGAUAUGUCAAUACCCUCCAUUAUACUUUAAGGUCGUAUGUACCCUUACCGUCAUUUUUUUGGGUUGUGUAUAUCCUUGAAGUUAAUGGAUGGACACGUGGCUUCAUCUAAAUGAUUUACCCGAUUUAUUUAUUUUUUACCCAAAAAUUAAAAAAUCAGCCGGGUGGUAUCAAAAUCCACUCUUCAUCUUCAUCAAAAACCAUUCAUCUAUUCUUCUCAACCCACCAUGACCACGGAAUCAAGAACUCAUCUUUCAAGAAAGAAGAUGACUUGUUCACUAAAAAUGCUCUCUUCUUCACUUUCACUUCAAACUUUGUAUCUUCCUCAUUCCAUCCAGCUUCAACAUGUAACAUUCCCUUCAAGUUCUGUCAAUUUGGUGUCUUUCGAAUUCUUUAAAACUGUAGACUUUAUGCUUGCUAACAAAUAAAAAAAGAAAAACUUCAUCUUCAUUUAGCUUAGUAGGAAUUUAGGUUAUUGGAUCUUUUGUACAUUAUCUAUUUCAAGAAUAUUUUCAAUCUCUUUCAACAAUAACAAAUCGAUUUGAGCUGGAAAUUUUUUAUUUGAUUGUAGACUCACUUUAAAGCUUAAAACUUUGUCCAUUAAUGGUGAUAGUAUUUUCUCAACCCCUUUCAACAAUAACAAAUCGAUUUGAGCUUGAAACUGCCGAUUAGAUUGUAGACCCACUUUAAAGCUUGAAGUUUUGUCCAUCAAUGAUAGUAGUAUUUUCUCAACUUAAUAAAUCAAUUUGAGUUUGAAAUUUUCGAUUCGAUUGUAGGCCCAUUUUUAAGCUUGAAGCUUUGUCCAUCAAUGAUGAUAUUGUUUCCAACUCCUUUCAACAAUAAUAAAUUGAUUUGAUAAAAAAAAGAUGAAAUUGGAUUUUUGAUUUUGAUUGGUAUAAUAUGCUUAUGUGUUUUUGUUUGUGAAAUUUGGAGAAAGGUGCCAAUGAAAGGGAAUUGAAGAAUAUUUUUCCUUUUAUUUGAUAUUUAGUGAAGAUGAACAACUAAGUUUUUUAUUUUUAAUUUUAAAUGUCAUGGUAUUUUAAUUUUGGGCCAUGGGUGGGUUUUCAAAGUUUAGGAUAAAUAAAAAAAAUAAAAUUAGGUAAAUUAUUUAGAUGAUGCCAUGUGUCAAUCUGUUGGUCUUAAGGGUAUAGACGAUCCAAAAUAUUGACGGUAAGGAUAUAUACAAUCUUAAAGUAUAACAGAGGGUAUUAACAUACCAUUUAGGGGUGUCAAAAAUGAACUCAAACAUAGAUAACCUGCCCAUAAUUUUAAGGGUUGGGCUCAAGAUAAUUUGAAUUGGGUUCAAUAUCAACUAAUUCAAGCCUAACCCAUUUUAAGAGAAUCCUCAAUUGAGCCCAAUUCAAUCUCUAAUUUCAACCCGUUUUAAAACUCUUUACUAAAAUAUGUUCCUAUAUUAAAGGUAUGAAUUAUUAUUUAUUUAACAUUUUUUAGGAUUUAUCUAUCCAUUUGUUACUUUUUUUUAAAAAAAAAAAUCUUGACCUGAAAUUCAAAUUGUGAUUAUAAAAGUUAAAUAUCACUAUGUUAAAAUUAUUGAAAUUAAUCGGAUCAAAUUGGGCGGGUCAAGACCCAAUCCAUUUUUUAGCCCAUUUGAACCCAACCCAUUUGAGCCCAAAGUAAACUUGGGCGGGUCAAGACUCAACGUGAUUUCUAUUUCAACCCAUUUUAAUAUCUUCAAUUUCAAUCCAACCCACCCAUUUGACACCCCUAAUACCAUUUAUGAUAAUUCGGGGGUAUAUUUAUCAUUUUUGCCUAAAUAAAAAGUAUCACUAAAAUCAAUAAUUAAAAGGAUACUUAUUCUAAGUAAUUUUUCCUAUUUAUGUAUAAUGCCUAGUAAAAAUUUGAAAUCAUAACACGAGACAAACAAAAGUAUUAAAACGAGUCAAAGGCAAAGAGAAGCAGCAAAUUCAUGGCCACAAAUGGACAGAGUAGCUCCACGUUAAGCACCACAAAACCUCUCAUUCUCAUAUCAACUUUCAAACAACCCUUAAUUUCUCCUCCUAAACAUAGUAAUAUAUGCUCCCUCCAUUUAAAAAAGAGUGGUCUAGUUUGAUUUAACACAGAGUUUAAGAAAAUAAAAAGACUUUUGAAUCUUGUGUCCUAGAUUAAAGUUAUGUCAAAUGUACAAAAUUGUCCUUUAAUCUUGUGGCUUUAAACAUGACACGUGAAAAUGUGAAAUUAAAAUGUUAUCAAAAAAAGAUAGAGAUGUUCUUUUUGAAACAGACUAAAAAGGAAAGUAUGUCAUUUUUUUUAAACAGUGGAAGUAUAUAGACAUUUAAAAUAAAACUUGAACGAUAAAUAAUUCAAUUUUGAGAUAAUAUAUUUACAUAUUUUAAUUUGACUCCAAUUAAAUAUGACUUAAACUCAUAAUAUUAAUUUCAAAAUUAGUUAUCUUUAUAGCUAGUAUACCAAACGAGUCUGUUUAUUUAUUAUCUCUUUUUUUUCUCCAUUCUUCUGUAAUACCCUUCCUACUUGUCGUAUUUUUUUGUGAUCCAACCCCCUAUGGAAAAUACACACUCCAAAGGUAUUUCUUGUUAAAAAAAAAGUUUUAAUUUUGUUAAUUUCUGGUGUAUUUCUCAAUUAUUUUUGGGAAUUGUGCAGAAGGAAGGAAGGAUGAAGAAAGAGAAGGGUACUUGAAGGAAGCUGGUGAUGAUUAUACUGCUUCUCAUUAUAUACUUCCACAUCUUCUCAAUUUGUGAGUUUUACUCCCAAUUUUAUGUUUUCUUUUUACUUUCUCCUAUUACUAGGUUUUUGAUUCAUCAUCAUCAUAUAUGUUGUAGCAAUCAUUGGAAUUUUCUCACCCACAAACUUGUUUGGAACAGAGAUGCAGUUGUUGUGUUAGUGAUAUCUGUUAAUCAGUAGCUUAUUAGUUAAUGAGUCAUUUUUUUACAGUAAUUAUGCCCAUGACAAGCUUUCUGCAAAUAAAUUUCAGAUAUGCAUCGCGAGCCAAGGCACAAGAUUUUGAGAUUUAUGCUCCAAAUGCAACGUUCGAAGAUCCCCUUAUGCGUGCAGAGGGGUAUUAUGCUUAACUUGUCUAUCUUAUAAUACUAGCCUUGUUUAGUAGUAGUGAAAUAAUGUUGCACUUUAGACAAGUGCUUUCAAUUGAUCAUGCUGAAUAAGAGCAAGAAUUAAACAUAUUUUACGUGCUUCGGCUGCAGAAUUUCUCAGUGCAAUCAUUUUAUAUGAUAAAGAAGAUAACGGAAAACAAUUUAGUCUCCACACCUAGUGAUUGUGAAAUUUGAAAACCAAGCACUUUUGUAUUUCUGAAUCAGAAGUAACUCGAGUCCGACCCUUUUAUGCUUUACUGAAGUUUACAAAAUAAAUCAUCAUAUCCUUUCAAUAGGUGGGAUUUAGUCCCUUAAUAAGAGAAAUGAGGCCUGAAUUGGCUUUCUACAACAUUCUUAAUAUAUUAGAAAUGAGGAGCAAAACAGAAACCAAUUUCAGUUGUAAAUGACUCUGUCAUGCUUUUUUUAGUAUUUUGUCUUGGUUUUUUCACUCCUAUUGUUUUCUUUUUUCCAAACUAUUUUAUAAUGCUUUACCUGAGUCGAUCGUCCAUCAGAAACAACCUCUUUACCUCCCAAGGUAGGGAUAAGGUCUAUGUACACACUACUCUCCCAAGACCCCAGACCCCAGUUGUGGGAUUACACUGAGUAUGUCAAUGGCGGAGCUAGAAUUUUUAAUAAGGGGGUUCAAAAUCUGAAGAAGUAAACCACAAACUAAUAGAAGGGGGUUCGACAUCUACUAUAUAUACAUAAAAAAUAAUGUUAACCAUGUAUAAAUAGUAAUAUUUUCAGCCCCCAAGGCCUAGCUCAAGUGGCAAAAGGUGAAGGAUUUGUGGCUUAGGCUACAGGUUCAAGCCUCACACCAUGCAAAGCGAAGCCUGGUAUUUAAGUGGAGAAGGGUAGAGGGGGGGCCCAUUAUCCACCGAGUUUAGAAGGCUGUGAUUGGUCCAAAGGGCGGGCCAUAGACGGAUUUUUCGGUUAUCAAAAAAAAAGUAAUAUUUUCCGCCGAACUCUAUGUUAGCUCCACCCCUGGAGUAUGUUGUUGGUUGAUUGAAUUGAGAGGUUCUAAGUAAAAAUUCAGAGUAGUGCUUGCUUUCUGUUUUCUGCCUUUCACACGUCUAUAUUAUAAGGCUGACUAUGAAUUUUACUGUUGAUUGCAGGGUAAAGCAGAUAAAAUCGUCAUUUUAUUCGCUCGGGAAGGUCUAAAUAAUUUUCCUUCUUGCUAAGUGUCCUAUUUCAUACUAGUCUCCUACUAUGCUUGAUUGAUACACUUUAUUGUGGAAAGAAAAAGAAUAAGAAAUAGGCAAGAACUUUUUGGGAAAUCGCAUUGCACGAUGCAGUUUUAAAAUCAGUUUUUCUUCUAACAUAUGGAUAUCAUAAUUUUGUUCUUGAAACUCAUUUCUCGAAAUAUACAUCACAAAAAUAUCUAAGGUUCCCAGCAUAAUCUCCGUUGUAUGUUGAGUGACUGUAACUACUAUGGUUUACGUCAAUAGUUCUUAGCCAAUCCUUUCUUCUUAAAGUUAAUUAAUUUAUUGCUAUAUUAUGUCUUUCUUUAGGCUUGGGAUUGUUGUGUAUGAAUAAUUUCAAACUGUUCUUUUUGUACAUUUCAGGUCUUCAGUGAGUCGAGAAUAGUGGAGUACAACGUCACAGAGAAAGAAAUUUCUCCUGGAAAUAAAGAGGUUUAAGAUACCUCCAUCCUAUUGCAUCUUCUUUUCGCUUUGUUUAUUCUCUGCUUUCGAACUCUGAUAUUAAGGUUGAUGGCUUCAGAUUUUAAUUGACAACAAACAAUAUUACAAGUUCUUGGGGAAAGACAUUCAUAUGAUAUCACUAAUCAAGUUGUACACGGAAGGAGGAAAGGUUGUUCGUCAUGAAGACUGGUACGUAUAUAUUUCACAUCAAGAAUACUUGUUGAAUUUGUAGUUCAACAAGGAAAAUGUUAAGCAUUUCUCUUGGUUUCUUGCCAUAACAUCCUAACAUUAUUUUUCAGUUUGUAUAAAUGUAAGAGGCAAGUAACACUUUGUUUCGCCAUAGUGUACUUUUUUAAGUAUGUUCAAAAUCUGUGCAACUUCACAUGUUCGAUAAACUUAAUCCUAAAGUCGCACAAAUUUAUUUUACUUGGUCUAGGGCUCUAGAUAAACAGGGUUGGUUAAUGCCACUUUGAGCUAUAUCAGUGUUCUUGUCAAAUGACAUAAUUUUGCCAGAAGAUGUUUCAUUUUUCUUUGCAAAACAAGUUAGGCUUACUAAGUUGUGGCUCCCUCAUUGCUAUAAUGAGACUUGAACCACCCCCCCUCAACCAACUAGUUAAAGGAAAAGGAGUCUCAUGAAUUGAGCAAGACUCACUCGUCUUGCCAAAAUAUACUCUCUUUUAUAAUGUUGUGUGUACUCGUCACAUUUUGCAAAAGAUGUUUCUUUUUGGCAAAACUAAUGAGGCAUGCUAAGCUGUCUCCCCCAUUGCUGCAGCAUGACUUGAACCUCAACCAAUAUAAUUGGUUAGAGGUGGAGGUGUUUCACCAACUAAGCAAGCCUCACUCAUCUUGCCAAAUUUAUUCUAUAUAUUCUAUUAUAAUGUUUGGUUGUAUAGUUUAUUCCUAUUUUUGAAUGGUUUUCGAACAAUUUUUGUAGCUGGGAUAAGAAACCUUUACGAAAUAGGGAGACAGUGAAGGUACCACUUGUUGGACGUAUGAUUGAGGUAUCUCGAAGAGCUUCGAUGCUUUUAACACAUGCUCUAAUGGGGUUUGGAAAAGAUCCCUCCAUGUAAAUUGCAGUGCACUGUUUUUAAGUGUUUCAAUUAGAUUUUACCAUAUUGUAAGAAAUAUAUAUAUGUUUGCUUGAAAAUAUGUAAAGAUAAUUAUUCAGUUGAUCCAUUUGGGCCUCCAUAGACAAUUUUCAUCCUAUUAUUUAAGUUAUAUAUAAAUUUUAGCCAGUAUUACUAAACUUGGGAUAUUACUUGUUGAAAUUUUUUGUCGUUCGUCUUCGAUCUAUUAUUCAAAGUUAAGGGGAGAGUUCGUUUUUUAAACGAAGUUCAGUAUUUAAAUGUUUUCACUCUUUUUAAAUAUGAUAAAUAGUUAUACAUACUAAUACUUGAUUUUUUUAAUUUUAAUUUGAUGAAGUAAAGUCACUUAUCGAUCCUCCAUUUAUAGAGUGAUUGAGUAAUCUCGUCAAAUGUCAAGAAUUGGAUGGCAGCCACAGUUCUUACUAGUUCUUCUCACAAUUUUGUACAGUUGAAGAUUAUCAUACAUGUCUAAUAAAAACUGACGGACUCUGACCACCUUUAGGCUUCAUGCAGAGCAAAUAAAAGAUCCCAAACUCAUACUGCAGAUCAACUUACGUAGGAAAAAAAUAUAUUAUGUGCCAAUUAAUUUGUGACAUUCAUGUAUUGAGUCGUUAAAUGGACCACAUUAUUAUUCACUAUAAAUUAUUCAAUUUUAAUUCAAUCUCUCUUAACAACUUGAAAUACAAUGUAUAUGAAUCAGAAAUCAGACACAUUUGGGACCCAUUGAAUGAUCAGUGUUUGAAAAGUCUUCAAGAAAACUACAGUGUCUUUGUCCAUGGACCACUAGUAGUAAUUGUUACAUGGACCUUGGGCUUAGCCUAAAGUGAGAAUUGCCCAAAUUCAUCUAAGGAAGUCCAUGAUCGAUGUGAGAUUCAUUCCAUUCAUCACUCCUGGCACGCCCGAUUCUGUCACACUCACUAGAGCGUGCAUGCCCGACUCAGUCUGGUCCCUUCAGAAGAAAUAAUUUAUUUGAUCGGUUCCCUCCUCACCAGAAAAAAAGUACAAUUGAGGAAAAUAUUAUUGUUGGGAUGGAGGAUGACUUUCACACCAUAUUUGAUCGCCUCACUUCCUAAAUAGACGAGUUAACUGUUAUACCAAUUUUUGGUAUGGGCGGUAUAGGUAAGACAUCUCUUGUCAAAAAAGUUUAUGAUGAUUCAUCUAUUUGUUCUCGAUUUGAUAAACAUGCAUGGGUAGGGUAAAUAUUUUCUUAAUAUAGCGUAUUUAUGUGAUUUACCAUUGUUAUUAUUGAUACAAAUUGAAAAAAGUUAAAGGUAAGUACACUAGUCUUUGGUCCCCAUUUAGAAAAAGGUAUGGACAUAAAAAAAGUAAACCUUUUGGACAAAACCUCUUAGCCUAAUAAUAACAAAAAGCAGAGAGAUUAAAUAACUCCAUAAUUGCACAUCUUCAUUUUCACAACUUAUAUUCUAAUAAUAUUCAUUAAUCUUGUGUCUUUAACCCAUACACUGUCCCCUCUUGGUUUCUUUUAUCUCUCCUGUGAGCUUUCAUCUUUUUUAUUCACUUGUUGACUCGAACUCAUAACUUAAUCUUAGAGUUAGAGUGGAGAGUAUUUACCAUCCAAACCACUCUCGCUUGUCCUUUAUCCUUUUUUUUCGAUCAUCUAUUUAUGCUUUUAUUUAGCUUUAGUUUGGUUGGGAAAAAAUGUGUUUCUAAUGGAAUUUAGGCCUAUCUCUACCCUUUGGAUAAGAGUUGGUUUCUCGUUUUAAGUAAAGGCUGUGGGGCAGGUUGAUCUUCAAUUUGUGUGUUUUUUAUUGUACAAAAUUCCAGACAGUGAUAUUAACUCAAGUAACUCAAACAUCUUGACCUUUUAUGAUUAUAUAAAUUUCAAAUAAAAUUAUGCUUGUAUUUAUUCAUGUAUGAUCGGAGACACUUUACCAAAGCUGUCAAGUGUGCUAGAAGAUCUACAGUGUUAUUAGUUUUCCUGAAGCAGUGAGCAAAACGGAAAAUUCCUUCCUGUUUCAGUUUAUAGAUUUGAACUAGUAUGAAUACGAACAAAAAAAUGUAGAUCUAUAUUUGUGAAUCAGAUUUCAAAUAAGUGUCUGCAUACACGUCAUGAACUUAGACUCAUUGAGAACAAAACAAUGUGUCUUCUUAAGAGUGUGUUUGGUAUGGAUGUUUGUACUAUCGCUCGCUAAUUGCUUGACCUGUUUCUUGGAUAGCUUCUUUAUGGCAAGCGCUACCCUAACCUAGCUGGUGCUACACUCAGAUGUUUGAUGAACUCAUUCGUAAAUAUCAUUAGCUUGUCGGGAGCAUUACAAUUUGUUCUACCACUAUAUGGUGAAGUUCCAUUUCUUGCUUAUUACAUACUAGUCUCUGGGAAUGUGCGUUGCACGUGAAUCACAUGCUAAUUAGUCCAAUAUCUUUAAAUUAUAUAACUGAUGUGGUAAUAUGUUUGUGAUGACCAGAACUAAAAUUGAAAUGAUGGAAUAUACACAACAAUACAAUGGAUUGUUUGAACAUCUAAAUUUAGUUAUGUAAAUCAAUUAGCAUACCAAACAUUUAACUUCAUUUUCUUGUUUCUUUUACAUUUUAACAACAUUGUCUACAUGUGAAUAUGAGCAAUGUCGGAUCAAAGUGCAAAUCAUUCAUGUGUAGAAAAUCUUGCAUUGUUAUUUGAUUCCUUCUAUAGCCGCAUAGAUAUUAAGAAGAUUUAUCAAAUGAAAGUAAUAUUAUCGAACUAAUAUAGAUAUUUGAUCAGUAUGUGUUUUUCUUUGAAUGAUCAUUAUCAUUUUUCAUGAUGUAAAGCUACAAAAGUAAAUUUAUUUGUAAUAGAGAUAUUUAAAAUAUAUAGGCACAUCAAAAAGUUGCAGUGAUAUCACUGUUGCACCUACAUGCACCCUUUGUCUUGAUUCAAAAUUACAACCUCUUUCAUUUGUAAAUGUAAGAAAAACAAUAUUGACAUUGUUCAAAAUUUAAUUAUAUAUUAACAAAAUAUAACACUAUAAUCAUAUCUCAAUAGAUAUAAUAAUAGGCACUCAAACAAUCUUUAUAAAUAGGAAUGCCCAAAGUAAAGUAUUCAAGCAAUUUCUAUGAUUAUAUGUUAUAUCAUAAGAUUUUUUUUCAUCUACCAGACUAAUUACAAGCAUCUCAUAAAUAUUUUCUUACGGAUAGUUUAAUAUAGGUUAUAGACUACUGGCAGUGAAUGAAAUCAAAGACAUCUAUAAAGGUAUUCUAAAAAUUGAAAUGUUCUUGUACUUAUAAUAUGUGGAUUAAAAAUAUAAGAAUAAAUUAUGAUCAAUAAACCUCAAAUGAAAGUGUAAAUAACCAAACAAUUUAUCUUUUUCAACACGUUGAAUUAGUACCAAUUUAUACUCUUUCGGAAGCUAUUUCUCCAAACUCAAAAAGAGAAUUUAAGAAAAUUAUAAAAGUGUUGAACCAAACGAAAUAAGUAUUAAGAGCAUGAUUUUUACAAUCUGACCACGUACAAAAUUACACUAAUAACUUAUCUUUUAUAAUCAAAGGUUCUGAUGUCAUCAUCCCGCUACUGAAAAGAAAAGCAUAUUAAAGAAAUUAUAAGAGUUUUCAAAAUGUUCAUCUAUGUAAAUUCACUUGAUAAGAUAUGACAUAUAACAUAAUUAACCAUUGUAUGUACCGAACUAAAUAGUUUGAUAAUGUCAUUUUUCUUUGUACCUACAAAAUUAUAAUAUUGCAAAGAUGAAACAAAAAAACAAGAACGAAUACAAACUUACUCGAGAUGUGAAAUCAGAAAGAUGAUGGGCCAGAUUCUAGAAUGAUUAACAUCUGAUGAUAAAGAGAAUAGACACAAUAUAUUAAAGUAAAUGAGACUCUUUGUUUCCCUCAUCUGUUAUGCCUCUUCAUUUCCAUCAUUUAAAUACGUAUUUAUUAUUAUAGGGUAGGACUAACUGAAGGCUAGAAAAUUAAAUAAUUGUACAUUGUAAUUAAGAUACUAUAAAUUAAAAGAUUUAUGUAUAAUAUCAAGAAAUUGAACAGAUUACAAUAAAUCCAAUUUCUCAUUAAAAUAAUUUACUCACCUAUUAGAGCAUUAAAAUAAGAAUUAAGGAGACAUUAAUCAACGCAGGGAAAUAAUUAACAAUUAAUUAAUUUAUAAAUCGGGCUAGGAGAUAAACUUCAAAAUUUAAAAGAAGGAGAACCUGCCUUAAGAUAAUUAAACUUAAUUAUUUACUAAUAACCAAUUAGAUGAUUCUUAGAAUUUUAAUUUAGGAUAGGAAUAAAAUAGUAAUCCAACUUUUCCCUUUUAACUUUAGACUAUGUUGUUAAAUUAUUAAAUGUAAUUAACUUUUCAACUUUUAAAUUAAGAGUAAUUAAGACUGUAAAAUUAUUAGCAAUUUAUUUACUAAUAUUUAAUUACUUUGAUUAUGAUUUAGUAUAAGGGCAAAAUGGUAAUCUAACUUUUGCCUAACAUUCUUCCCACUUUUAGGAUAAUAUGAUAUGAUGAUUGUUAGAUUUGCUUCACGAAAGGUUCUGUAUUGAUAACAUUUAUCAAAAGUAGUCAUUCUCCUGGAUGGAAUGGAACUUAAAUAUCAAAAUAUACUUGUUUGAUAUAGAAAGUUGUGUCAUUGGAGAAUGAAGCACUAACAAAAUUUCUAGUACCACAUAUGCAAUAGACUAAAAUAAAAUGAGUGCACUCACUUUUAAUUAUAAAAUAGAAAAAGAAAUACCCUCAUGUGCAUUGUAGAACUUCAUCACAAUAACAUUGAACCUGAUUCAUGAGUUGUGUACGUCUGUACUAUUGAAUAUUAAAGUUUGAUUGAGUUGUUCUAGGGUUAUUAUUGAGUUGUAAUAAUUCCUAGAUUGAAGAGAGUAGUUGUAGGGGUGACGUUUGUAAUAAGAAAUGAGUUUGACUUAUUGGUGAGUAGUUAGAACAGUAUGAGUGAACUGUAGAGUUGAGGUACUAGAGUUAGUUCCUUUUAUAAUCUAAAGCGUUGGCUCUUGAGAAGUUAAUGGAGAUUGGCGGUUUCCAUCCUAGACAGUGUAGGUCGUGCUUUUUUACUUUCUUGAACAAGAAGUUUUCCACGAUAAAUUUGUGUAUUGUUACUUCUACUAAUUACUGCUUACUACGUUUUUAGAUACCAGAUUUCGAAUACAUGUAUCAGGGGUGAAGUAGUUCUUUCACACUCACUUUUAAUCAAUUUGAUUGUGUUGGCAUACCAGUUGGAAAUCCAUCAUCUCUUUUAAUUAUAAACAAAUGAUAAAGGGUGAGUAUCCUAUGUGUUUGUCCCCCAUUUAGAAAAAGGUGGAGAUAAGAAAAGUAAAUCAUGUGGACAAAAUCUCUUAGCAUAAGAAAAACAUAGCAGGGAGAUUAAAUCUGCAAGACUCUAUCGUUUAGUUAUUCCAGCAAACAAAGAGAAAUGGCUUAUGCUGCUCUUUCUUCACUUAUCUAUACAUUGGAACAACUCAUGAAACCUAAUCAAUCUUUGGUUUGUCGAAGCUGCACACAACAUAUGGAAUCUAUCUAUCAAAAUCUUUCUGCUAUGCAAGUUUUCCUUGAAGAUACGACGAAGGAAACCAAAGAUGUUGAAACUCUUAAGGUUAUAGAAAAGAGGAUCAGAGAUGUAAUAUACAAAGCAGAAGAUAGAAUCGAUUCAAGUCUAAGAAGCAUCAUUCUAGCAGAUCGCGAGGACAAGCGGCAAAAGGCUUGUAUAUCCUUUUAUGAAGAAUUGUUGAAAGUGGAACAACAAGUUUAUUUUCUCAACAAGGAGCUGAUGUUGAUCGAGUUUAACAACCAUGGAAGCAAAUCUGCAGAAUUAGCAACAAUGUCCUCUUCACUAGAAAAAAGUACAAUUGAGGAAAAUACUAUUGUUGGGAUGGAGGAUGACUUCAACACCAUACUUGAUCGCCUCACUGCCCAAACGAAGAAGUUAACUGUCAUACCAAUUUUUGGUAUGGGCGGUAUAGGUAAGACAACUCUUGCUAGAAAAGUUUAUGAUAAUUCAUAUAUUCGUUCUCGAUUUGAUAAACAUGCAUGGGUCACUGUCUCCGAAAAAUACAAUGAAAGACAAAUGUUGCUUGAAGUCGUCUCUUCAAUUACUGGAAGCAAUCAAGAAAUGAGCAAUGAUCGACUAAUGGAGAUUGUGUAUAGAGGUCUCAAGGGUCGGAGAUUUUUAAUUGUCAUAGAUGAUAUUUGGAGUACUAAGGCUUGGGACCAAAUGCAAAGAAUAUUUCCAAAUGAUGACAACAAUAAAAGCCGAAUUCUAUUAACCACUAGACUCAAGUAUGUUGCUGAUUAUGUCAGUUGUCCUGAUUUUCCGCCUCAUUGUAAGUCUUUCUUAAAUCUUGAUGAUAGUUGGAAUCUGUUCACUGAAAAAUUAUUCAAAAGAGAUCCUUGUCCUCUUCUACUAGAAGAAACUGGAAAACAUAUUGUACAACAAUGUCGAGGAUUGCCUCUUUCAGUUGUUGUGGUUGCUGGACUUCUUGGAAAAAUGGAUCCAACGUAUGAUAAUUGGAAGAAAGUUGAGGAAAAUCUGAACUCAUUCUUUGGUACGGUAUCUGAACAGUGCCAAUCAAUUCUUUCCUUGAGCUACAAUUACUUGCCCCAAUAUUUAAAGGCUUGUUUUCUCUAUGUUGGUGGUUUUCCAGAAGACAGAAAGAUUGAUGUUUCCAAUUUGAUUAGGCUAUGGAUUGCUGAGCAAUUCAUAAGGGAAAGAAGCAAUAAAAGGUUAGAAAUGGUGGCAAAGGAGUAUCUGGAAGAGUUAAUUGAUAGAAGUCUAAUUUUGGUUGGUAUACGAAAGGCUAAUGGAAGGAUGAGAACUUGCAAAAUUCAUGGUCUUCUUCGCCAACUAUGCCUAAGAGAAGCUCAUACUGAAAAUGUUUUGCAUGUCACGAAUAGGAAUGUCCCCGUGUCCUCAAAAGACGAUCCUACAAGUGUAACCCGCACCUUUAUUUCAAAGCAAUCUAUUAGUUCAGAUUUUCCAAAACGGAUUGGCUCCAUUGUUUCACAGUUCAAAUUGCUUAAGGUGUUGGAAGUAUUAUCAAUUGAUUACGAUUUCUCUUUUGUUAUACCUCAGCUUGUACAUUUGAGAUAUGUUGCUGCAAGAAUUAUGAUGGCUCUUUCACUAGCUAAAUUGAGAAAUCUACAGACCAUAAUUCUUCAAAGAAUUUUCAAAUUAAGGAAAAAUCGCCAGAGUUGAUUCUCCCACUAGAUAUUUGGACAAUGUCAGAGAUAAGACAUGUGGAUAUUGGAUUGCCACUAUAUAUAUCUAAUCCUCUUGAUGCCGAAAAUCAUAGUAUUGGUGAACAACCUCUGUUUCUGAACAACUUGCAAAUGCUUUAUCUCCGUCACACUCCUUUUGUUGCGGAAAUCAUAAGAAGAACUCCCAAUCUAAAAAAGCUAAAGAUUUUAGAUGAUUCUGAGCAUCCUGAUUGGCCUGCUAUUCUUGAUUCUCUCAGUCUUCUAGAAGAUCUCGAGACACUAUACAUAGAAACAGAAGAAAACAUUUUCUCUGGAGUUAUUUUGCCUUCUAAUAUCAAAAAACUGAUAUUAAGUCCUAAUAUCAAGAAAUUGAUAUUAACAGGUACUCGUAUACCAUGGGAAAUUGUGAAUUUGCUGGCUAAUUUACCCAAUCUUGAGGUGCUCAAAGGGUAUCGUGCAUUCGAUGGAACAGAUUGGAAACUAGAUGAAGAUGUUGUGUUUCACAAAUUAAAGUAUCUACUAAUUGUUGAGGUAGGUCUGGAAAGGUGGGAAGCAUGUAGUGAUAAUUUUCCGAUGCUUGAGCAACUAUUACUAGAUUGGUUGUAUGAACUGGAGGAGAUUCCGGAGAGUAUUGGAGAUAUAAUGACACUAAAAUUGAUCCAAAUAGAUGAUUGCAGCUCUGGUGUAGAGAAUAGUGCAAAGAGAAUUCAAGAAGAGCAAGAGAGCUUGGGAAAUUAUGAGCUUCAAGUUCGUAUUAUUAGGUAUAUUCAAGUACCAUCUUAAGAAAUCCAUUUAAUAUGUACAAAUUGUUCGGAACACAUAAAUUUCAUGUCUUAAUUCCACAGCUGUAGAAAGUUGAGUCAUUGUGGAAUGCAGAGCUAAUACAGAAUUCUUUUAUAUGGUUUUAAUGCAGUUACAGGAGUGUGUAGAAGGCUUUCCCAUCUAGUUGGGAACUCUGCUGGUGUUAACACUGAGUAAAUGAGAUAGCAUUUUGUAUUUUUUAUCCUGACACCUAUAUUCUGGAGCUUGUAUAUUUUUUCAUAAUCAGAUUUCUAUUUCCGAAAACAGUCUCCAUGGUAAGGUUUGCGUACAUUCUAGAGUUUCAUCAGGUAUAUUGUUGUUGUAUAAUCAGAUGUGUAGUGGAGCUUAUAAUAGUUAGAUUUCCGGAAUGUUCGAACAUUUUGAAUACUUGAUUUGCUUGAGUUUAUUACCUUUAGGGAGGUUGAACAAAGCUUCAAUUGUAUGUAUAUGUAAAAUACAAGAUUUUCAAUUCCUACCAGAAAAGGGAGGGAAACAGAUAAUCAAUUUAAAGUAAGUAAACAAAAUUUCAUAUACUCGAUAUCCACACUCUAUUAAGGCUCAUGUCCUUAGAAAGGUAAAGGUUUGUCAUGUGUUGUCUGAUCUUCUCUCCUUAAUACUUAUUUGGUCUACCCCUACCUCUUCUCAAAUCCUCCAGCAUCAACCUCACACACAUUUUCACUAAAGCGUCUAUGCAUCUCCUCGGUAAGGUGAACAUUUGUCAUGUUCUUCCCUACACUUAUUUGGGCUACCACCACCUCUCCUUAGAUCCUCCAGCAUUAACCUCUCACAUAUCCUCACUAGAGCAUCUAUGAAUCUCCUCUUAAUAUGUCCGAACUAUCUCACCUUAGCCUCCCGCAUCUUGUCCGUGAAAAAGGCCAUCUCCACAUUGGCCUAAAUAUCUUCAUUUUUUUUACCAUAUCUCUCCUAGUGAACCGUUUAAAAAAGAAUGAUUCUUUCCUUUUUAACAACUCUUUUAAUUCUUACUUUCUACUAACAUGUUUAAAAUAACAAGAUUAAAAGAUAUUUUGAUCCAUUCUACGUAUAUUUAGUCUUGGACCAUAAGAUUCAAAACCCUUGUUUAUUUUUAGGGAUAUGGUUGAUAUACACCUUAACUUUGUCAUUUAGAGUCGAUAUACCUCACUAUCAAAGUGGCUCAUAUAUAGCGACGAUAACAGGGCGGGGCGGGUUGAAACAAAUUUUAAAUUUAUUUUUUAUACUAUUUUCCUCUACUAUUACACAAAUGGCUCACAUAUACAAUUUUUCUCUAACGGAAAUGAAAAAAAUCAAUUUUAAAUUCAUUUUUUAAAAUUUUUUAUUAAAAAGGAUAUUCAUAUAGGGGUAUAUUUGACUCUUCACACAUAUUCUUUUUGACUUUUUUGAUUCAAUUGUUAAUUUGAAUUUAUUAUUUUGAUGGUAAAAUUUAGGGAUAAUGCAUAAGUACCCCGUAGACUAUGAUCGAAAUUUCAGAGACACACCUAAACUUAACUAGAGUCCUAUUACCCCUAAACUAAUUUAAAAUGGAUAAAUACACCACAAACACUGACAUGUCAUAGAGAGUGUGCACUAGUCUUUAGUCCCCAUUUACAAAAAGGUAUGGACAUAAAAAAAAGUAAACCUUUUGGACAAAACCUCUUAGCCUAAUAAUAACAACGCAGAGAGAUUAAAUCAACUCCAUAAUUGCACAUCUUCAUUUUCGUAACUUGUAUUCUAAUAAUAUUCAUUAAUCUUGUGUCUUUAACCCACACAUUGUCCUCUCUUGGUUUCUUUUAUUUUUCGUGUGAGCUUUCAUCUUUUUUUUUACUCACUUAUUGACUUGAACCCAUAACCUAAUCUUAGAAUUAGAGUGGAGAGUAUUUACCAUCCAAACCACCCUCGCUUGUCCUUUAUCCUUUUUUUCGAUCAUCUAUUUAUGCUUUUAUUUAGCUUUGGUUUGGUUGGGAAAAAAUGUGUUUCAGAUGGAAUUUAGGCCCAUCUCUAUCUACCCUUUGGAUAAGAGCUGGUUUCUCAUUUUGAGCAAGACUAUGGGGUAGGUUAAUCUUCAACCUGUCUGUUUUUUAUUAUACAAAAUUUCAGACGGUGAUAUUAACUUAAGUAACUCAAAAGUCUUGAUCUUUUAUGAUUAUAUAAAUUUCAAAGAAAAUUUGUACCAAAAGUUUAUUAUAUUCGUCCAACUUGACACGUGAUGUCUUCAUUAUUCAACGUUAAUUAUUCUAUUUUACAACAGGGUUCAAUGUCUCUGACAAGUUGGAAUACAAUGUAUAUGAAUCAGAAAUCUGAACGACUAAUGUUUGAAAAUUCUUUAGGAAAACUACAAGAGUUUCUUUAUUUUUCAUUAGAAGUUUAUUAUAUUAUUAAAAUACAACUUGACAUAUUAUUAUGUCUUUAUUUUUCAUUUCUUUUUUCUCACUUUGACUUAGUCAAUCCACAGUUUUGCAUCCAUGAACUACAAGUUGUGUGGUUGUGAUGUAGAUGUUAAAUAGAAAAUUGUCCAAAUUCAGGUAAAUUAUAUUGCCUAAUAAUAACAAAGCAGAGACAUUAAAUCUGCAAGGCUCUUAUCUUUUAGUAAUACCAGCAAAUUGCAAUAAUUGUUAAGAGAAAUGGCAUAUGCUGCUCUUUCUUCACUAAUGUACACAUUGGAGCAACUCUAAAAACCUAAUGAAUAUUUGGUUUGUCGAUGUUGUACACAACAACAUGUUCAAUCUCUCUAUCGAAAUCUUUCUGUUCUGCAAGUUUUCCUUGACGAUACGACAAAAGAAGCCAAAGAUAUUGAAACUCUUAAGUUUAUAGAAAAGAGGAUCAGAGAUGUAAUAUAUAAAGCAGAAGAUAAAGUUGAUUCAAGUCUAAGAAGCAUCAUUCUAGCUGAUUGUACAGAGAGUAGAGAAGGGGCUUGUAAAUUCUUCGAGGAAGAAUUGGUAAAAGUGGAAAAAGAUGUUCAUUCUCUCAGGCAAGAGUUGAUGCAGAUUGAGUUUAACAAGCAUGGAAGCAGAUCCGCAGAACUAGCAGCAGCAACUCCCUCCUCGCCAGAAAAAAGUAAAAUUGAGGAAAAUAGUAUUGUUGGGAUGGAGGCUGACUUCAACACCAUACUUGAUCGCCUCACUGCCCAAACACACGAGUUAACUGUCAUACCAAUUUUGGUAUGGGAGGUAUAGGUAAGACAACUCUUGCCAGAAAAGUUUAUGAUGAUUCUUCUAUAUGUUCUCGAUUUGAUAAACAUGCAUGGGCCACUAUCUCCGAAGAAUACAAUGAGAGACAAAUGCUUCUUGAAGUUGUUUCUUCAAUUACUGGAAGCAAUCAAGAAAUGAGCGAUGAUCAACUAAUGGAGAUUGUGCACAGAGGUCUGAAGGGUUGGAGAUUUCUAAUUGUCGCAGAUGAUAUUUGGAGUACUGAGGCAUGGGACCAAAUUCAAAGAAUAUUUCCUAAUGAUGACAAUAAAAGCCGAAUUCUAUUAACCACUCGGCUCAAGUAUGUUGCUGAUUAUGUCAGUUGUCCUGAUUUCCCCCCUCAUAGGAAA